GAUAAGGUUAAGUGAAUAAGGGCGCACGGUGGAUGCCUUGGCACUAGGAGCCGAUGAAGGACGGGACUAACACCGAUAUGCUUUGGGGAGCUGUACGUAAGCUAUGAUCCAGAGAUUUCCGAAUGGGGAAACCCAACAUCUUUUAUAGGAUGUUACGUUUGCGUGAAUACAUAGCGCAUUCGAGGUAGACGCAGAGAACUGAAACAUCUAAGUACCUGCAGGAAGAGAAAGAAAAUUCGAUUCCCUGAGUAGCGGCGAGCGAAACGGGAAAAGCCCAAACCAAUGAGCUUGCUCAUUGGGGUUGUAGGACUCCGAUAUGGUAGUUCUUUCAGAUAAUCGAAUGACUUGGAAAAGUCAGUCAAAGAGGGUAAAAACCCCGUAGAUGAAAUUUGGAAGGCACCUAGGAGGAUCCUGAGUACGGCGGAACACGAGGAAUUCCGUCGGAAUCCGGGAGGACCAUCUCCCAAGGCUAAAUACUCCCUAGUGACCGAUAGUGAACCAGUACCGUGAGGGAAAGGUGAAAAGCACCCCGGAAGGGGAGUGAAAUAGAACCUGAAACCGUGUGCCUACAACAAGUCAAAGCCCGUUAAUGGGUGAUGGCGUGCCUUUUGUAGAAUGAACCGGCGAGUUACGAUUGCAUGCGAGGUUAAGUCGAAGAGACGGAGCCGCAGCGAAAGCGAGUCUGAAUAGGGCGUUUGAGUAUGUAGUCGUAGACCCGAAACCAUGUGAUCUACCCAUGUCCAGGUUGAAGGUGCGGUAAAACGCACUGGAGGACCGAACCCACGUACGUUGAAAAGUGCGGGGAUGAGGUGUGGGUAGCGGAGAAAUUCCAAACGAACUUGGAGAUAGCUGGUUCUCUCCGAAAU
rnacentral:rRNA from 1 species